UAGCCAUAAGUUGACGUCAUUGUCAAUCUGUUUUAUUCGUUAUUUGUCAAUGUACCUAAUGUAAUCAAAGCAAAUUUUACUGUUAAUUUUAGCUUAUUAAAACCUUAUAUUCAGUAAAGGUUUUCUCUUAUUACAAUUUAAUAAGCUAAAUAAAUAAAAAAUGGAUAGAUAUCUCCGCCCUGAAAGGUUUGAUAUCGACCCGUCAGAUAGCUCUAGUACGAGAGCUUGGAUACAUUGGCGUAAAACUUUCGAAAACUUCAUUUUCGUGCAGAAGCCGGCCGUUUCAGAAACAGAUGCACAGUCGGUUCGUCCGCCAGAAAAAUGGGACAGCAUAAAGUUUCAACUUUUGGUAAACCAUAUAUCACCAAAUAUCUACACAUAUAUAAGCGAAGCUACGAACUACGAAGAAGCGAUCACAAUACUGCAAAAACUGUAUGUAAAACCAAAAAAUCUGAUUUUUGCUAGACACAUGUUAGCAACAAGGAAACAACGUCCAGAAGAAAGUAUUGACACAUAUUUACAAGCUUUGAAACUACUUUCUAAAGAUUGUGAUUUUGUGGCUGUUGAUGCAGAAACAAACAAAAACGAUAGCGUACGUGAUGCUUUCAUAUCCGGUAUAUCAUCGCAUAAAAUCAGACAAAGGCUUUUAGAAAACUUAACUUUAACACUUGAUCAAGCUUACAACCAAACACUCUCUCUAGAAACUGCAGAGAUCAACUCUCAAAACUUCAAUACUGUCUCUUUAAAUGCUGUUGCUCCAAAAGAACCAACAUUAGUCUCUUCGAAAUCACAAACUCUGCACAACGAGACCUGCUCUUCUGUUAAUACUCCUCGACGACAAAAAUGUUUCUUUUGUGGGGGUCAAAUACAUCCUCGUAAGAACUGCCCUGCAUUUGAAAAGACUUGUCAGCUCUGCAACAAGAAGGGGCACUUUGCCACUGUUUGUAGAAGCUCUUCUAAAUCUACAAAUUCUGUGGUAAUAGGUACUGAAGAUCUUUCCGCUUGUAUCACAGCAGCGUCACCUUCUUCAUUACGUAAAGCUACUGUACCCGCUUAUAUUCGGGGAAUAAGAGCAGAAGCACUUCUCGACACCGGCAGCUCCAUCAGUUUUAUAAAUGACAACUUUGCAAGACUAUGCGGGUUAAAAAGAAAAUCCUGUAAUCAGACUAUUUCUAUGGCCUCUCUUAAUUAUACUUCACAAGUAGAAGGUCAAACUUGGCAAACCUUGAAAAUCGGAAAUCAUAGAUAUGAUAAUGUGAAUCUUCUUAUCGUGAAAAAUCUUUGUGCUGAUAUAAUUAUCGGCCAUGACGUCCUCGAAGAACAUUCAUCGCUAGAGUUCUCUUUCGGUGGGCCAAAACAUCCACUUCAAGUAUGUAACGUAGCUGAAGCAUCAGUACCAGCUGUACCGCUUUUUGCGAAUGUAUCUCCCAACUGCAAACCUAUUGCUAUAAAGUCUCGAAGGCACAACAAAGAGGAUAGUGAAUUUAUUAAAGAAGAAAUCAGAAAUCUUAUAGCAGAGGGCGUGAUUGAAGAAAGUAAAUCACCGUGGAGGGCCCAAGUACUAAUAACAAAAAGCGAAACUCAUAAAAAAACGCCUUGUAAUUGAUUACUCUCAGACAAUUAAUCGUUACACAGAACUCGACGCGUAUCCUUUACCAAACAUUGAGGACUUAGUUUCGAAAGUGGCAAAGAAUAUAUUUUUCAGCCUAAUAGACCUAAAAAACGCGUACCAUCAAGUACCUAUACUACCCGAAGAAAGGAAAUUUACCGCUUUUGAAGCACUGGGAAAUUUGUACCAGUUCAGGCGUAUUCCUUUUGGAGUAACAAAUGGUGUUUCGAGCUUCCAACGAACAAUCGAUUGGAUUAUAAGAAAAGAGAAGCUUCAAAACACAUAUGCGUAUCUUGAUGAUAUAACUAUUUCUGGCCGUACUCUUGAAGAACACGAUCAUAACUUAGAAAGUUUUAUGAAUGCCGCAAAGAAAUACGGUUUAACACUGAGUAUACAAAAAUGCAAAUUUUCUCAAAAGUCAAUUAAUAUUCUAGGCUACAAUAUUCAAAACCACAUCAUUAAACCUGACAAUGAGCGACUCAAGCCACUGAUUAAUUUACCUCCACCAAGCGAUUUACCGACCUUAAGAAGGACACUCGGCAUGUUCGCACAUUAUUCUAAGUGGAUUCCAAAAUUUUCUGAACGGAUCCACUCACUUGCUAAUACGACGAUUUUUCCACUCACAAGCGAGCAAAUUAAAUGUUUCGAAGGCUUGAAAAAUGAUAUCGCAAAGUCUUCUAUACAUGCAAUUGAUGAUAAUAUACCUUUUACAGUGGAAACUGACGCUUCCGAUCAUUCCAUUGCAGCAGUACUUACGCAAAAUUCUAGACCAGUGGCGUUUUUCUCAAGAACUUUGAAUUCAAGCGAACAAAACCAUUCCGCCAUUGAAAAAGAAGCGUACGCCAUUGUGGAAUCAUUGAAGAAAUGGAGACAUUUCCUUAUUGGUAGACACUUUAAGUUGGUAACUGACCAACGCUCGGUUUCUUUUAUGUUUAAUAUGAAACAUUCAAGUAAGAUAAAGAAUGAAAAGAUUCAAAGAUGGCGACUGGAACUUGCUGCUUUCAAAUACGAUAUUAUAUACAGACCGGGGAAAGAGAACUAUGCUGCUGAUGCACUAUCCCGAGUUUGUGCCACUGUAGAAACACGUACUGCAAAACUUUUCUCGCUGCAUGAGGCUCUUUGUCAUCCAGGGGUAACAAGAAUGUUUCACUGGGUUCGCUCUAAAAACCUUCCCUAUUCAAUUGAAGAAGUCAGAACAAUGACAAAAUCUUGUCGAACCUGCUCUGAAAUAAAACCUAGAUUCUUCCGAAAUACCUUUGAUGACCAGAGGAAACUUGUUAAAGCGACGGCGGCUUUUGAACGCCUUAGCAUAGAUUUUAAAGGACCAGUUCCAACAAAUAAUAAUAACAAAUUCAUACUUACCGUGAUUGACGAAUUUUCACGUUUCCCGUUUGCAUUCCCAUGCUCAGAUGUAAGCUCGAAAACAGUGAUUAAACAUCUUAACAACUUGUUUAUGAUAUUUGGCAUGCCUUCUUAUGUUCAUUCAGAUCGCGGAACAGCAUUUCUUUCUGCUGAAGUACAGGAAUUUUUACAUGUUCGAGGUAUUGCCACUAGUAGAACUACAGCUUAUAACCCUCAAGGUAACGGUCAAGUAGAAAAAUUGAAUUCUACUCUUUGGAGAACGAUUCUUUUGGCGCUGAAGACGAAGAAUCUUUCGGUAGAAAAUUGGGAACAAGUAUUACCACAAGCCUUACAUUCAAUCCGAUCAUUACUUUGUACAACCAUAAAUUGCACUCCACAUGAAAGAAUGUUUAGACACCCUCGAAGAUCUACAAACGGCACUUCUGUUCCAUCGUGGCUUACAAAUUCUGGACAAGUCUUGAUGAAGAAAUUUAAUCGUACAAAUAAAUAUCAGCCAUUAGUAGAAGAGGUUGAAUUGAUACACAGCAAUCCUGACUUUUCAUACAUUCGGCUUCCAGAUGGCCGAGAAACAACAGUGUCGAAUCGUCAUCUAGCACCAUUGGGUUCAGAAAGGGUAGAUCUGCGAAUAGAUAAUGAACACACUAUUGAUUAUCAUAACGUCGCAGAACCACUUCCGGAAACAGAAGACCAAAACUUGGAGAUUCCUUCAUCUAAUGAACCGGGACCUGUGGUACUUGAUAAUAACAGAGAGCUAGAGACAGAAUUACCAUCAUCACCACCGCCGGAGCCAACACUUCGUAGAUCUGGUCGCGUCCAUAAAACGCCAGGAUUUUUAAAAGAUUAUGUUUUAAAAUAGUGCGGGAGAAUGAUGUAAACUUCUUAGUUGAAAUUAUUAGCCAUAAGUUGACGUCAUUGUCAAUCUGUUUUAUUCGUUAUUUGUCAAUGUACCUAAUGUAAUCAAAGCAAAUUUUACUGUUAAUUUUAGCUUAUUAAAACCUUAUAUUCAGUAAA